rnacentral:rRNA from 1 species
GACGAACGCUGGCGGCGUGCUUAACACAUGCAAGUCGAGCGGUAAGGCCUUUCGGGGUACACGAGCGGCGAACGGGUGAGUAACACGUGGGUGACCUGCCCUCCACUCUGGGAUAAGCCUGGGAAACUGGGUCUAAUGCCGGAUAUGACCACAUGUCGCAUGGUGUGUGGUGGAAAGCUUUAUGUGGUGGGGGAUGGACCCGCGGCCUAUCAGCUUGUUGGUGGGGUAAUGGCCUACCAAGGCGACGACGGGUAGCCGGCCUGAGAGGGCGACCGGCCACACUGGGACUGAGACACGGCCCAGACUCCUACGGGAGGCGGCAGUGGGGAAUAUUGCACAAUGGGCGAAAGCCUGAUGCAGCGACGCCGCGUGAGGGAUGACGGGCCUUCGGGUUGUAAACCUCUUUCAGCAGGGACGAAGCGAGAGUGAC